CCUGUGGAGUGCUAAACCAACCGUAGUAGCGUGAGAUUGGCGAGGCGGGGUACGAAGAAGCAGGAA
rfam:Sporosarcina sp. HYO08 scaffold_14, whole genome shotgun sequence.